rnacentral:rRNA from 1 species
UACAGAGGUGGCAAGCGUUGUUCGGAAUUACUGGGCGUAAAGGGCGCGUAGGCGGCCAUCUAAGUCAGACGUGAAAUCCCCCGGCUUAACCUGGGAACUGCGUCUGAUACUGGACGGCUUGAGUAUGGGAGAGGGAUGUAGAAUUCCAGGUGUAGCGGUGAAAUGCGUUGAUAUCGUAAGGAACACCUGUGGCGAAAGCGGCUUACUGGGUCUUUUCUGACGCUGAUGCACGAAAGCUAGGGGAGCAAACGGG